rnacentral:rRNA from 1 species
GAUGAACGCUGGCGGCGUGCUUAACACAUGCAAGUCGAACGAUGAACCGGGUGCUUGCACUCGGGGAUUAGUGGCGAACGGGUGAGUAACACGUGAGCAACCUGCCCCUGACUCUGGGAUAAGCGCUGGAAACGGCGUCUAAUACUGGAUAUGUCCCGUCACCGCAUGGUGUGCGGGUGGAAAGAUUUUUCGGUUGGGGAUGGGCUCGCGGCCUAUCAGCUUGUUGGUGAGGUAAUGGCUCACCAAGGCGUCGACGGGUAGCCGGCCUGAGAGGGUGACCGGCCACACUGGGACUGAGACACGGCCCAGACUCCUACGGGAGGCAGCAGUGGGGAAUAUUGCACAAUGGGCGGAAGCCUGAUGCAGCAACGCCGCGUGAGGGAUGACGGCCUUCGGGUUGUAAACCUCUUUUAGCAGGGAAGAAGCGAGAGUGACGGUACCUGCAGAAAAAGCACCGGCUAACUACGUGCCAGCCGCCGCAGUAA